GCCUACUGUUUGUUAACCACAGAUUGAAAUUAUAUUGUAUAUAUACUGUCUGUGAGACAGGCUACAGAUCAUGCUACACCUAUCAAAAAUGCAUUCAGCUUAGUGUGAAAAAGAAGUUUUAUAUGAAACAAAUAAACUAUAGAAAUCCAUACUGCAAAGAGCUCCGAAGGUAAUCAUAAGUUGCAGCACACCCUCGAAGUUUCUUCUCCAUUCAUAGGCCAUUUCUUCUGCGCAUGGCUUUUUAUGAUUCACUGCGGGGAGGUAGCCAGGUAGGAGAAGAAAAACCAAAAAAAAUUCACAUAUCAGCACUUGUUAUGAAUGGGAUUUGAUCUUCUUCUAACUCUUCUUUUGUUUGACUGCAUCGGAACAAACAUAACUGAAGGCGUGGGUGCUACGCUCAAUGGCUCAGGCAGUUCUUGAACUUCAACAUUCUCUAGAACCCGCGGAUGUCUUAUAAACCUGAGAGCAAGAUCUCUGCUUCUGAGGCCAGAGACUUGUUCUGGUUGAGUGAAUAGAAACCCUAUAAAUACAACAAAAAUGAUCAUUCUGCAAGAAGACCUAUUCAUGUUUAAUGUUUCUAGCAGACAACUACAAGAUUGAACACGACUGAGCUCUACACUUGUUCAAGAUAAUAAGAUGAAGGUAAGUGGCAUCUCUUUCUGCAGUCUCUUUC
rnacentral:lncRNA from 1 species